GGGUCCGGACACACUGAGGAUUGACAGGCAAUUAUUGCUAACAGUUUCUUUUUUUAAAAGUACUGUUGCAACAACAAAUAUGCUAGUCCUUUCAUGAUUAUGUGAUAGGUGGUGCAUGGCCGUUCUUAGUUCGUGGAGUGAUCUGUCUGCUUAAUUGCGUUUCAUUAUGGACCAUGUUAUAACAUGUACUAUCUCUUGAUUUUCAAAUUUUCAUUUAUUUGAGAUUUGUUAUAAAGGAGGAGUUUUGGUGCAAUUGGUCCUGAAAGCAACGAACGUGACCGCAUCCUCUUGUUGCCUUUUUAACUUGGCAUUUUUUUAAUUUAUUUUAACAUUUUUGUCAUAACAUAAGAGGCUUUCAGAAAACUAGAGGGACCGCUGCGACUUUUUUAAACCAGAGGAAGGUUGCGGCAAUAACAGGUCUGUGAUGCCCUUAGAUGUUCCGGGCUGCACACGUGCUACAAUGAUUAUUGCAGUGAGCAUCUCAUUUUAUUUUUUGUGCUUGUCUUGUCUGCGAGUUUAUUCUCAACGACGACAGCCUUAGCCUGCUUCGAAAGUUCGCAGGU
rnacentral:rRNA from 1 species